GCAUUAUGAAAUACAGCAGCACUGCAAAUGCAAAUUACAAGCAACAGGACUUAACUGCGCCAUUUUAAAGAGCUAGGAUAUGGAUCAUUUAGUACAUGACAAAUAAUUUUGGACAAAAGACAUAUGGUACUAAGAUAUUUUGCUAAAUAUGGUCGUCCAGAUAACUUGAAAAACAUGAUGCGUGAGGGUAAUAAAAUGAGAACAUGAGAAAAAUUUUAAGCACAACAAUAAUGAAGCAUCCUUACCUGUCAACUUGACGUAGAAAAACU
rnacentral:misc_RNA from 1 species